rnacentral:rRNA from 2 species
AAAAACAUGUCCUUUUGUUUAUGAUUUAAGGUCUGACCUGCCCAAUGAUUAUUUAAAUGGCCGCAGUAUUUUGACUGUGCAAAGGUAGCAUAAUCAUUAGUUUUUUAAAUGGAAGCUGGUAUGAAUGGUUUGAUGAGAAAAUAGCUGUCUCAAUAUAAUUGAUUUAGAAUUUUAAUUUUAAGUUAAAAAGCUUAAAUGUUAUAGAAAGACGAGAAGACCCUAUAGAGUUUUAUUUUUUAUUUGAUAUAUAUUUUAUGGGUUUUGGUAUUAUUUAUUAUUUAAAAAAUUUUGUUAGGGUGAUGUAAAAAUUUAGUUAACUUUUUAUUUAUUUAUCCAUUUAUUUAUAAAUUUUUGAUCCUUUAUUUUAGAUUAUAAGAUUAAAUUACCUUAGGGAUAACAGCGUAAUUUUUUUGGAGAGUUCUUAUCGAUAAAGAAGUUUGCGACCUCGAUGU